rnacentral:rRNA from 1 species
CGGAAGGAUCAUUAAAAAAGGAGAAGACUCCUAUAUAUAAGCACGGCCUGCCCCUGGCACUCCUAUUAGCCUAGAAUCCUGUCCCGGUAUUUUGAACCAAACCUUUACGGGGGAGGCCAAAUCCGGAUAAUGCGAACGCAUGCAGGGACCUAGCAUUGAGCAGACCCAGAGUACGGGUGGCUAAUGCCUAACCCCUUGAAUACCUACCUUCGUUGCUUUGGCAGGACGCUUUAAGCCACUAGCGUCAGCUGGUGAGUGCCUGCCAGAGGACCAAACUCUAUGAAAUAAUAUCGUCUGAGUACUAUAUAAUAGUUAAAACUUUCAACAACGGAUCUCUUGGUUCUGGCAUCGAUGAAGAACGCAGCGAAAUGCGAUAAGUAAUGUGAAUUGCAGAAUUCAGUGAAUCAUCGAAUCUUUGAACGCACAUUGCGCCCCGUGGUAUUCCGCGGGGCAUGCCUGUUCGAGCGUCAUUAUGACCAAUCACGCCUGGCGUGGUCUUGGGGCUGGCAGUUUUGCCUCCCUUAAACGCAGUGGCAGCGCCGCGUGGCUCUAAGCGUAGUAAUACUUCCGCUAUAGAUGUCGCUCGGUUGCCCGCCAGCAACCCCCAAUCUUUACAGGUUGACCUCGGAUCAGGUAGGGAUACCCGCUGAACUUAAGCAUAUCAAUAAGCGGAGGAAAAGAAACCAACAGGGAUUGCCUCA